rnacentral:misc_RNA from 1 species
UCCGGUUUGUCACCGGCAGUAUCGCUAAAGUGCCCGACAUUACUCGCUGGCAACUAGCGACGAGGGUCGCGUUCGUUGCGGGACUUAACCCAACAUCUCACGACACGAACUGACGACAGCCAUGCAGCACCUGUGUGGGAUCCAGCCGAACUGACAUCUUCCUUUCAGAAGACUCUAAUCCCCAUGUCAAAAGUUGGUAAGGUUCUGCGCGUAGCCUCGAAUUAAACCACAUACUCCACCGCUUGUGCGGAUCCCCGUCAAUUCCUUUGAGUUUUAAUCUUGCGACCGUACUCCCCAGGCGGAGUGCUUAACGCGUUAGCUGUGAUACUGAGUAUCUAAAACACCCAACAUCAAGCACUCAUCGUUUACGGCGUGGACUAC